rnacentral:rRNA from 1 species
AAUCAACGCUGGCGGCGUGCCUAACACAUGCAAGUCGCACGAGAAAGGGUCUUCGGAUCUGAGUAAAGUGGCGCACGGGUGAGUAACACGUGACUAAUCUACCCUCGAGUGGGGAAUAACCUAGGGAAACCUGGGCUAAUACCGCAUAACACUUACGAGCCAAAGCAGCAAUGCGCUUGGGGAGGAGGUCGCGGCAGAUUAGCUAGUUGGCGGGGUAAUGGCCCACCAAGGCGAUGAUCUGUAUCCGGCCUGAGAGGGCGCACGGACACACUGGAACUGAAACACGGUCCAGACUCCUACGGGAGGCAGCAGUGGGGAAUUUUGCGCAAUGGGGGAAACCCUGACGCAGCAACGCCGCGUGGAGGACGAAGUCUCUUGGGACGUAAACUCCUUUCGAUAGGGAAGAUAAUGACGGUACCUAUAGAAGAAGCCCCGGCUAACUUCGUGCCAGCAGCCGCGGUAAUACGAGGGGGGCAAGCGUUGUUCGGAAUUAUUGGGCGUAAAGGGCGCGUAGGCGGUUUGGCAAGUUUGAUGUGAAAUCUUCGGGCUCAACCCGAAGUCUGCAUCGAAAACUGCCGGGCUUGAGUAUGGGAGAGGUGAGUGGAAUUUCCGGUGUAGCGGUGAAAUGCGUAGAUAUCGGAAGGAACACCUGUGGCGAAAGCGGCUCACUGGACCAUGACUGACGCUGAGGCGCGAAAGCUAGAGGAGCAAACAGGAUUAGAUACCCUGGUAGUCCUAGCCCUAAACGAUGAUUGCUUGAUGUGGCAGGUACCCAAUCCUGCCGUGUCGAAGCUAACGCGAUAAGCAAUCCGCCUGGGGAGUACGGUCGCAAGGCUGAAACUCAAAGGAAUUGACGGGGGCCCGCACAAGCGGUGGAGCAUGUGGUUUAAUUCGACGCAACGCGAAGAACCUUACCUGGGCUCGAAGUGUACAGGAAUCACUUAGAAAUAGGUGCGCCCAGCAAUGGGUCUGUAUAUAGGUGCUGCAUGGCUGUCGUCAGCUCGUGUCGUGAGAUGUUGGGUUAAGUCCCGCAACGAGCGCAACCCUUAUCUCUAGUUGCUACCAUUUAGUUGAGCACUCUAGCGAAACCGCCUCGGAUAACGGGGAGGAAGGUGGGGAUGACGUCAAGUCCUCAUGGCCUUUAUGUCCAGGGCUACACACGUGCUACAAUGGCCGGUACAAACCGCUGCGAACCCGCGAGGGGGAGCCAAUCGGAAAAAGCCGGCCUCAGUUCGGAUUGGAGUCUGCAACUCGACUCCAUGAAGCUGGAAUCGCUAGUAAUCGCAGAUCAGAACGCUGCGGUGAAUACGUUCCCGGGCCU